GUGGAGCGCGCGGGGCCGGGCGCUGCGAGGGUGCGAGCCUCGGCCCCCCGUGCGCCCGGCCCACGGAGCGCUUACUUAUCUGGCGCGGCCCUGAGCGUGGGCCAGAAUGUAAAACCCAUCCCUCCAUUGCAUUUUUCUCAGCGGAAAAGGUUAUCGUUGCCUGUGGCUUAAAGGUUUAAAAAGAGGAUUAAAGGCGAGGAAGGAGGCCGGCCCCCGAAGCAGCUGGGUACCCAGCGCGGCACACGGUCGCAGAAAUGAUCAGGGAGCCCCAAGGCCCCUGUAUGCAGUCCUGGAAGAUAGGACAGAGAUUGGCAUUGGUAUUGAGUAAGAUGCCCUUUGGAUUCCAACUAUGGCCUAGUUAUUUUGUGAUCUUUGGGAGAGGGAAAGGAAGAACGAUGAUUUCAGAAUUUAACAAAGGUGACCAAGAAAGUGCUUUGAAAAUCAAGCUGGUGGGGAAAAAGAUCGAUUGCACUAGAGACCUCGGGGCCACAGGGUCGGCCUGGUCAGGGACCGUCAUCCAUUCCACACAUGCUACGAGGAACAGAAUUCAACCACCUGGGCCAUCUGAUGGCAUAUGCAGCCAUGCAAUGACACAGGAAACCUUCCAGAGUUCUGUUGGCCCUGCCUGGCCUAGCCCCACCCGAGUUCCAGCCCCAUUCCCAACCCCACGUGACCCAGAGACCAAGCUUCACUCAGAAUCUGCAAAGAGAUGGAGGGAUCAGAGAUGA
rnacentral:lncRNA from 1 species